AAGCAGUGACUGGUGUCCUCAGGAUGUUGGUAUUCACGGUGAUUGUUUUGUUAUUCAUGUUUCCUCUGUUGAUAAGUUUUUCAGUGAACUUGUAUCAUUUUGUGAUUAGAUUUUAAAAAGGUUAUUUACAUAGUCCUAAAGUUUAGAUUCUUGCACAUUGCUCUUAGUAAUUUUCAGUAUUGAAGAGCACACAUCCAUUCUCUGAAACAAUCUCGAUUAUGUUUGUUAUUCCAAUGAACCGAAUGUGAAGUUGAGUGUGAAGAUGUAUGUCCUACUUUAACAAAAUGCUCUGGAGAGCGAGGCAGCACUCCCGCCUGCCUGUGACUGUGCAGGUGUUUCUUUUCACAGACCUUUGGCGUUUUCAGCUCUCUCUGCCCGCUGGUGUCUGUGCACUGUCCUGUACUUACCUUCACUUUUAAAUUGUGCUUUGGAUAUAACAAAAUGCAGAACAAUUCUCUGGAGAUAAAAAUAGGUCUAUUUCAUCCUGAUACAUGUUCUUAAACAUAUUGUGGCAAGCGUUUCUCUAUCCCAGCACCAGCUGUGAUCACCUCCUAUCUUCAUUAGGUUUGCCAUAGUGGGGGUAGGGCCAGCUCCAAACAGCAGCCUUAGUAAAAUACAUUUCUUUGCUUUAAUAGGUGUACUUAUAUUGCACCAAAUAAAAGGUGGUGCAGGCACACCUUGAAGAUAUUGUUGGUUCAUUUCCAGAAUACCACGGCAACCCUAAUAUUGCAUAAAUAAAGUCAUUACUUUUUUGUUGGUUUCCUGUUGUGAGUGAAAAUUGUUUGCUCUAUAGUGUCGUCUAUUAGGUAUGCAGUAGUAUUUUGUCUAACGGGAAAAUAGCCUAAUUAGAUAUCACCGAGACAUGAGGUGAACAUAUGUUUUUUGGGAAAUGGUGCUGCUGGACUUAGCCCAGUCCAGGUUGCCACACACCUUCAAUUUGUGAAAAGCAGUAUCUGAUAAAGCAAAGCAAGCAGGAUGGGGUGUGCCUUUAUAGACACAUCUGAGAACAAUCCUUUGGGUUUUAAUAAAGUAUACACAUCUGGAUAAGUGGACUUCAAUUUAAUGAUGAUGUUUAUAUGUAACUAUUUUUUUUCAGCAGUUAUGUCAGCACAGGAGUGUGUGUAUUCUUUUCCAUGAUAGAAAGUACGCUGAACACUCAAGGUAGUGAACAAGGGUUAGCUAAAUGCCUGCAGUCUGCCAGGGACUGGGCUAUACACAAAGCCUCUUUAAAAUUUAUUGUGGUCUUUUAAAAAUGUCAAAAACUUAUAGCUAUCAUUGGUUGAAUCUCAGUUGUAAGUAGAAAAUAGGGAGUUUAGUUUUUAUUAUGCUAUUGAACAGCUACAGAGGAAGCACAUAUGACUUGGCUUCUGCCUAAAUUCUUCCCCAGGCUGUAAAUCCAUGUGUCUGCAGUGAAGUAGCCAGUACUCCCUGCCACCACACUCUGAUCCUUUUGCUCCCCAAACUGGACAUUACUGUUGACAUUUGGGAUCAUGGUACCAUUGCUGUGCUUUAUUGUUUUGAAUCACUGGUGUUUUGUUAUUUAUCUUUUUAAAACACUUAUUUAUUAUGCACAAAAGAUCUAGGGCACAGGCCAGAGAAGCAGGGGGUGGGAGGACUCACGAGAGACAGAGCGGGGAACAGAACAGGCAGACCAAUUGAAAUACACAGCUGAAGGUAGCAGCGGGUGAGACAAGAGAGGUCUGCCUUGCCAGGUGGGACACCCGCUGGCCGGCCGGGGAUCAAACUGGGGCUGUGGGGACUGUAGACCCCCUCAUAGUGCGGUGCUCAACCUCCAACCCCCUGUGCCACCAGGGUGGCCCUAGAUUUAUUUUUUUAAUAUUUUAUUUUAUAUAAUUCUUACAACAUUCCUAUUUUUAUUUUUAUUUAUUUAUGCAUUUUUAUGCAUACAAGAACUCUACCAAUUUCUAAUUCAAAGUUUGCUUUUUUUGUUUAAAGAUUUAUUUUUGUGUAGAAGACCUGGGGUGCAGGCCAGCAGUGUCGGGUGAUGAGAGGAUUUACCAGUGACAGAGUGGGGAGCAGAACAGACGAAUAUACUGAAAUACACUGCUCAGGGGAGCAGCAGGCUUCACUGAUUAGGGAUGAAGAAGAUUGUGGCUGACACCCCAGGAUGCCAAAGCUGCUGCAGCCGGUGUGCUCAUGAACAAAAGGGCACUGAGAAGCCAGUGUCUUGUCUUAAGUACCUUCCUGUGUGGAACUCAGAACCCCAAGGAAACAGGUGAGUGUCUGAGUUGAUGCCUGGUGAGCAGCAGACCAGGUCAGCUUGCCAAGGAGCGGCCCUCAGCCGUGUUCCUCUGACACCUUGGGAUCACAGAGCUGUAAGCAUGAGGCAGCUCUGGAGCUGUGGCUGCCUAGGCCUUUUCCUAUCAGAAUAGCAUCUGACAAUCAUAUUAUUUACUCUCUCAAUGACCUCUUUUUGAAGUGUGCUUGCCUGCCGUGCAGAAGCUCUUUGCUAUGCUAUGAGGGUCUGGCUGUGGCAGACACUGUCAGUGAAAGGCUGGGAGUCGCGGAGCCUGCAACAGACCCGCCUGUGCCUCCUGCCCUGGAGUUAUGUUGGGACAAGGCCUGGGGGUGGACUAAAAGUUUCAGGGAGUGACUGGCCAGGAGCCUGACUUGUGCCCCUCAGAUGACCAGGUGAGCUCUUAGAAGUCUCCUGCUUCUCUACUCCCUGCUUGCUUCAAGUUGUAAAUGUGCCCCUUCUGGGGCCAUGGGUGCUCUGUCACCCAAUGGCUCAGGGCUCGGACUUUGGAAAAAGAUCACCUCUGGGCCUGCGGGAUAAAUAAAGAUGAAUUUUUUCCAUAACCUCUUACAAUCUAAAAAUCAAAAGGUAGAAGGUCCUAACUCAAUGCAAAUAAAGCGAGGUGUGUUAAGAAUUGUAUUUAAAACAGGACCUCCCCUGGUGGCGAAGGUGGUUGUAGGUGGUUGAGCGCAGCGCUGUGAAGCUGUCUGCAGCCUCUGCAGCACCCGUUCGAUCCCGGCUGGCCGGAGUGGGUCCCACGUGGCGCAGCAGACCUCUCCUGUCAUGCCUGCUGCUCCCCUCAGCAAUGUAUUUCAGUAGAUCUCCCUGUUCUGUUCCCCACUCUGUCUCUGGUGAAUCCUCUCACCCCCCACAUCUCUGGCCUGUACCCCAGUUCUUGUGUGCAUAAAUAAAUAAAUCUUAAAAGAUUAUUUAUGCACUCAAGAACUGGGUUGUAAGCCAGAGAUGGGGGUUGUGUUUGAGAGGAUUCACCAGAGACAGAGUGGGGGGCAGAACAGGCAGACUGACUGAAACACACUGCUGAGGGGAGCAGCGGGGAGACAGGAGAUGUCUGCUGCACCAUGUGGGUCAGCUCCCUGGACAGGGAUGGUACUCGUGCUGCAGUUGCUGGUGCUGGUGCUUUAUAGUGCAGCGUCCUAACCCCUCGCGCCCACAGGGAGGUCCCUCUCUACUAUUCUUUUUUUUUCCCUUUUUGUUGUAAAGGCAAUGAACGAGUCACAGGGAGAAGCUUUGUUAUACAAAAUUUUGUUUUAUGAAAUAUCCAGGCCCCAUUCAUUAUUUUUCCUGCAUCUCUUGUAGACAAAGACAACUUUCUUGUAUUUGUAAGCUGGAAGGGCUCAGACUUUGAAGGAGUGUCUUGUUUUCACUUUUAUUUUUAAUUGAAGCUAUAUACAGCUGUGGAUUAAACAGAAUAAAUUUCUAAAUUUAAAAAUGAAGAAUAGGGGCAAAAGUUGUUUAUUUGGGUUGAAAAGCUAGCCGGAGCACAGGUUCAGGCUAGAAAGCCAAACACCCUCACUAAAAAAAAAAAAAAAAUGAGGUGACCUUGACGUGAACUCCCAUCACUGCUGCUCUGCCCUUGCCUGUGUGACUAGCGGGAGACCAUGUUUCAUCCUAAAAUGUUUUUCUGUAACUACAUGGAAUUCUUCAGCCUUUUAAAAAAUUACUUUCCCCUGCCAAGGAGCAAGGAGGUCAUUUUACCAAUGGAGUUUCCAUCAGCUUCUGUUACUGGUCCUGAUAAUGAUAGGGAGUUGUGUAUAUUAUAGAAAAUGUGAAGAGUAGAAUAAAAUAGGAUGAACUGUAUCAAAAAGUAUUCUUAUGACUUAGUACAUUUCCUUCCUAGUUUUUCCCCUAUAUUGGCACUUGCCUGUGUAGAAGGUGGGAAGUAGCUUGAUAAUUAUAAAAUGAGCUUCCAUUAAAUAGGUCAAGGAAUGUAAAGUCACAUCAUCGCAUGAUCUUCGUCCAUAAAGAAGCCCCUAUAUGGCUGUCACCCAUUUUUUCUUGGCUCUUCACUACAUAUCCUGGUAUGUAUCACUGCAUGUAUCAUUAAACCUGAUUUUAAUUUUGUCUGGUAUUGAAUAUUUAAAUAAAUUAAAUCCUGUUAUGUUUCUGUCUUGAAUGUCACUCAACAGUAUGAAGGCAAGACUAGUCCACAUUUUGGAUGCAGCUUGAGGCUUUUAUUUGCACUUCUGUGUAAUAUUCCACUCGAUGUACAGUUGGUUUACAUUGUGUUCUACUCACACAUAAGGGUUAAGGAGAGUGUGCUUACAUCAUCGCUAAAAUUUUAUAUUCUACUUCAUCAUUUAACACUGCACUAUAAGUACUGUCCACAGCAUUAAAAACUAUUCAGUGUUACUGUAUCUAUCCAGCCUUUACAUUUAAUUUCGUGUAUAUUGGGGUUUUUAAAUUUAGUUUCCAAUCAUUUUACUGUAAAUAAAGUGUUCUCUGAAUUUGAACAGUUCUUUAGGUCAUUUCCAAAAAAAAAUUACUAUUUACAUUAAACAUUCAAGUAUUUUAAAUUCAAAGUUCCCUGCAGAGGGGUUGUGAACUUACUUCUCAGGAAUAGUAAGGACAGAUUUCCUAGUCUCACUAACAUUUUAGUCUAUCCGGUUUUCCUCUUCAAGGCUCUGGACACACAAGCCCACCGUGCUCUACUGCUCCUGCCUCUGCGCCGGGCCCGCCCCUUCCCCGUGGGCUGUCAUGGCUGUUCCCUGCGCCACAGGCCACUCGACUCUGCCCCACAGGCCCCCUUCGUGGUACCCGAGCUUGGCCACCUGGGCCUUUCCUUCCCUUUGGCCACUUGUCAGGGAUUUGCUGUCUCGCCACUGAUGGCCACCAGGCGGCGCCCUCCCCCGUUAUUUUUCACAUGGUCCUCACCGCCCUUUCUAUUGCCUGAAACACACCGCUGCAUCUUAUUCACAGUCCAGUCCGUACAUUAUCCCGUGCUCAGCCGCGCCACCUCAUUCCUCCUCCCGCUUCCCGCCUUACUCCAUCUUUCUCACCCCUGCUGGCGCUUUACCUUACCCAUCCCACUGCCAUCAUCAUUCUGAGUUUCCCCCAACUUAUCCCUCUGGGUCACAAGGCGGCGCCACCCGCGCCACCCGCGCCUUCAUUACGCCGGGGGGAGCCGCUCUUUGCGCAGCCACUUCCAGUCCGCCGAAUUUCAGACCGCGAUUUCCACGAGGCGGCAACAUUAGUUCCUCUGCUUCUUUAAUGUGCCCUUGGGAGCCGCUCUUGGCGCGGCCUCUCGCGUUCUGCCUGGUGCACCCUGGGAGUCUCAAGAGUGAUGACGUAAUUGCCGAGGGCGCAUUUAAAGGGUACAUACAGCAAAGGGCUGACAAAGGACCUGCCAGAGGCCUGAAAGCGCCGCUGGCCGCGCCGGACAAUGGCGGGAGCUGGGACAAGUGAGGCCCGCGACGCGACGCGACGCAGGGGGAGGGCGGGAGGCUUGAGCAGGACAGCGGGACAGAACAAAGGAUGGCAGGAGAGGAAAUCUGUCCUCACCAUUCCUGAGAAAUAAGUUCACAGCACCUCUGCAGGGAACUUUGAAUUUAAUAUAUUUACCCUUUUUUAAAAAAAGAUUUAUUUAUUAAUGUAAAUAAAUUAACAGGCCAGAUGUGCGGGAGGGGGAGCGGAUUCACCAGAGACAGCGGGAAGCAGAGCAGGCAGCCUGACGACACACACGGCUGAGGGGCGCAGCGGGGAGACGGGAGGGGUCUGCGCGCCAUGUGGGCUGCUCCGAGGCCGGCGGGCUCGACCCGGCGCUGCGGCGGCUGCGGACAGCUCCACAGGCUGUGCUCAAGCCGCUGCGCCACUGGGGAGGCCCUAAAAUACAUUUUCAAUGGAAAUAGUAAUUUUAAUUUUGGAAAUGAACUAAGGAAAUGAUUUCAAAUUCCGAUAAAUCUUUAUGUGUAAAAAUGUUCAAUAACACUUUAUUUACAGUAAAAUGAUUCGAAACUAUCCAAAUAAAAACCCCCAAUAUACACAAAAUUAAAUAUACAGUAACACUGAACAGUCUUUAAUGACGUGGAAAGUCCUUCUAUUAGUGUUAAAUGUUGAAAGUGGAGAAUCCUGGCAGUGCUGUGAUCCCACCACAGAAGAAACAUGUUAAUGACACACCCUUAACACCGCAGGGAGUGUCAACAGUCCAGCCGCGUCCGAAAUGUGGACUCGUCUUGCCUUCACACUGCUUAGUGACAUCCGGCACAGAAACAACAUGAUUAAUUUAAAUAUUAAACAUCACACAAAGUUAAAAUCACAUGUUAAUGAUACACACACACACACACACACACACACACACACCCCAGCUGCCACACCCGGGCACCCGCUCUGCCCUUCCGCUGCUGGGCCUGGGGCGGGAGGGGGCUCAGCCCCGAAAGCUUACAACGUGUGCCCCAAACGCCCCCCUAACCCUGCGGGAGUGAAAACGGCCCGCGGGACAGAGGGGAGCCCGCCCCGGGGCGCCCUCAGGGUCCCGAGGAGCCGGGAGCGAGCCGCGGGGGUCACGCUCAGGGACGGGCCCGCCCGUGUGCUCCUCCCGGGCCCAACAUAAGCCCCGGAGCCCCCGCA